AAAAUCAUUGAAGCAGGCAUGUCAUUGCUUGGCCUGUUUUUGUUUCUUCAAGAUUUUUUUGUCUGAUAUUUUUCAUAGUUUAGAUAGAGACUCAUAACUUUACUUCGGCUCAUAUCUACAGCUUCCAAACUGGUGCCUCUGGGUUUCGCUAGUCCGAGCCAACUCCAUACUCGGAGGCAAGAGAUAAUUCAGAUAACAUCUGGAUAAAGAGAACUUGACAAAAUUUUAGAAGGCAAGUAUCAAAGAUUUCUUUCAACUCUUAACAACGAUCCUUUUACAUUAGACCGUGUUUCUGUGGCAAUGCUUCUUAAGAACAUUAACACUUGCCGUGUCCUGUAGUGUUGUAACCUCAAACAGCUAGCUUUUGACAGGAGGGUUUGAGACAGGAUCUAUUACUGAGAUACAUGGUGAGUUCCGCUCUGGAAAAACUCAGCUGUGCCACACCCUUUGCGUCACUUGCUAACUUCGAUUGGAUCAAGGAGGUGGGGAGGGAAAAGCAAUUCCCAUAGAUGCAGAGGACGCGUUCAGACCCCAUAGACUCUUACAGAUAGCUGACAGGUGUCUUACAGCUACCUAGAGAAGAAGAACUGCUCUAGCCAGCUUGUUGUCAAAUGGUUAAAGGUUUUAAACCUUGCAGCUUUGGGCUGAAUGACGUUGAUGUCUUGGAGAAUGUGGCUUUUGCUCGGGCAUACAACACUGAUCAUCAAUCUAGGCUUUUGCUUGAAGCAGCUUCAAUGAUGAUGGAAACAAGGUUUGCUCUUAUGAUUGUUGGCAGUUCUGCUCUAUACAGAACAGAUUUUUCUGGAAGGGGAGAACUUUCAGCUCGGCAGGUGCAUCAAUCAAAGUUCCAUGGGAGCCUUCAGAAGUUAGCAGAUGAGCCAGAAUGACACCUUUAUCUUUUUUAACUAGCUCUCUUCAUUUAUGACUGUCUGCUUACAUCAUUGAAUUACUGGGUCCACGAUUCUUUUAGGCGAUAUGACUUUCUGGAUUUACCCUCUCUUGUUAUUCCAGUAUAUGCGAAUGCUGUAGACAUGCUCCAAAUAGACUAUUCAAUUAGAAAUGUAAAUUUUCCUGCGCAUUUUGUUGGUGUAGUUCGGUGUGGCAGUUGUCAUCACAAACCAAGUAGUUGCAGGUUCUGCUAUUUUCGCUGGACUUCAAAUCAAGCCUAUUGGCGUUAACAUCUUUGCUCAUGCUUCUACAUGAAGGCCGGUAAUUCCCUCCAAUUCUCCUCUCAAGUGUGAAGGUUUCGUACUUGAAAAUUCUUAGUAUAAUUGUCACUGGCUUGCUCUUUGGAAGGAAGAGAGGAGGAGCCCAUCUGUAAAGCAAUAAGUUCUCCUUGUUUAGCCGAAGCUGAAGCGUGGUUCCAGAUCUCUGCUAAAGGCGUAAUUGAUGUUAAGGAUUGAUCUAUUUUAGCUAUCUUCUCCCGGAAAAUUUUUGAGGGGCGUUUCUUGCAUUACGUCUUAGUAGAUCUGCAAGCAAGGGAUGCGACAUCACAUCCAUGUAAUUUUCUGGUUUCCAAUAGGAACGUUCAAAUUUUUAAGAGCUAUAACGAAGACUUGCAGGUCUUUUGAUGUUUGGUGACCGUUCUCUGUCACUUCUCCAAUGUUUUCCGUAAUUUUGGUGUA